AAAAUCUAACAACGGGCACCAUCACCAUCUCAAAAAAGAGAAAAUUAGAUCCCCUCCCUCAAACUAACCCUAGUCGUUGCACCCCUCUCCUAUCCCCUUCUUAUUUCUUAUCUUCUCACCCAUACUCAUACAUUGGGCUACACACCUAAAUGCAUCUGAAAACAAAUUUGAAAUUCAAAAAUUUCCUUAUUAGAUCUGUAAUUUUCAGCUUCAAAUUGAGGGGAAAAACACAAAAAAAGAGUAAAGUUUCAGCUGACCUUUUUUUUACUCAAAAUAAUCAGUCGUAGUGGUUGAUUCAAGAGGUCUUCAAUACUAUUUUUCUGGUUUUUGAAAACUGAAUUUCAAAGAACAUUAAAAAGGGUAUUAAUUACUGAAGUUUCAAAAAAUCAACUUCCUCUUUUCUGGGUUUGCACAAGCCGUCAAAGCUCAAAUUCAUGCUUGUUGUUGUUGAUUUGGUUGUUUCAAAAGGCUGCUAAACUCUAGUUUUUUUGGCAUUUAGAUUCUGGAGUAGCUUCUGGACCAUAGAUUAGGUUGCUACCUUCAGUCCACACGGAGAUCCAAGAUUCCGGAGCAGCUUCUGGACCGUAGAUUGGGUGGCUACUUUCAGUCCACGCGUAGAUCCAAGGUACACAUGCAGGUGCCCGCAGGCCCUAGCGUCUCCCUCUAUUCCUUUAUCCCUGUUUCAUUUCCUUAAUUC